CGUGUAGGCGGUCUAAUAAGUCAGAUGUUAAAGGUCCCGGCUCAACCGGGGAGGGUCAUUUGAAACUGUUAGGCUUGAGUGCGAGAGAGGGUAGUGGAAUUCCCAGUGUAGCGGUGAAAUGCGUAGAUAUUGGGAAGAACACCAGUAGCGAAGGCGGCUACCUGGCUCGCAACUGACGCUAAGGCGCGAAAGCGUGGGGAGCAAACA
rnacentral:rRNA from 1 species